UCUUGACCAGAGAUCAAUCUUAGAAACAAUUGAUGCACCCUAUAGCUAGUCAAACAAGUCAUCAAUAUAGGGAAGAGGAUACUUGUUCUUGAUGUCACCUGAUUGAGUUCCUAUAAUCAAUGCACAAACAGAGAGUGCCAUCUUUCUUCUUGGCAAACAAAGUUUGGGCUCCCCAUGGAGAAUUACUGGAUCCGAUAAACCUCUUCUCAUGAAGUGCAAUCCACUAGUGGUUCAACUCUCAUAGUUCCACAAAGGCCAUAUGGUAGGUGGCCUUCAAAAUAGGUGUUGUCCUUGGAACUAAAUCAAU
rnacentral:lncRNA from 1 species